rnacentral:lncRNA from 1 species
CAAUAAGAUAUUACUGCGUUGUCUUGUUUUAAAGGAAAGCCUGGCAGCCAAAACCACACAAAGAAAUAAGAAGGAGAUUGGGAGGAAUCCCCUAAAUACAGAAGGUCUGUGUUUAUCUCCCAAGUGUGUCUGAGGCAGCAGUUCAGGUCCUGAAUGUCAUAAAGAUGGACUUGAUGCACAGCCUGGGUGAUCUUAUGGUCUUUCACAACAACACAAGCUAUGGAAGCACAACAGCACCUCCCAGACAGGGCCCUGCUGUAGCUCUUCUCCCUGUGGGUCACAGUUGCUCCUGAAGACACUAAGCACGAAAAGCCUUGAACAGUGGAAAGAACAGAUGCUCAGCAGGGAAGAGAGGUCUCAAGCUUUCCACUGCCACAAUUGUAUCUCUGCUGUAAAUCUCAUCUCUGCAAGAAACAAAAAUUAUCUCAGACUCCCACAAGACCAAGAACAAUUUCAAAGUUUUUUGGGGAGUUCCAGUUGUUCCAGUGGCUUCCUGUACCAAUUGCUCUGAACAUUCUAAAGCUGACUUCAGAUGAAAUCACAGAAAGCCCAGAGACCACCACCUUUCAA